GUCCACGCCCUAAACGAUGUCAACUAGGUGUUGGAAGGGUUAAACCUUUUAGUGCCGUAGCUAACGCGUGAAGUUGACCGCCUGGGGAGUACGGCCGCAAGGCUAAAACUCAAAGGAAUUGACGGGGACCCGCACAAGCGGUGGAUGAUGUGGAUUAAUUCGAUGCAACGCGAAAAACCUUACCUACCCUUGACAUGUCAGGAAUCCCGGAGAGAUUUGGGAGUGCUCGAAAGAGAACCUGAACACAGGUGCUGCAUGGCUGUCGU
rnacentral:rRNA from 1 species